UCCCUGGUGGUCCAGUGGUUAAGACCCUGCACUCCCACUGCAGGGGGCAGGAGUUGAAUCCUGGUCAGGGAA
rnacentral:tRNA from 1 species